UGAGGAAUAUUGGUCAAUGGGCGCGAGCCUGAACCAGCCAAGUAGCGUGAAGGAUGAAGGUCCUAUGGAUUGUAAACUUCUUUUAUAGCAGAAUAAAGUGACCCACGUGUGGGUUUUUGUAUGUAUGCUAUGAAUAAGGAUCGGCUAACUCCGUGCCAGCAGCCGCGGUAAUACGGAGGAUCCGAGCGUUAUCCGGAUUUAUUGGGUUUAAAGGGUGCGUAGGCGGAAAGAUAAGUCAGCCUGUGAAAGUUUGCGGCUCAACCGUAAAAUUGCAGUUGAUACUGUUUUUCUUGAGUGUACAUAAGGUAGGCGGAAUUCGUGGUGUAGCGGUGAAAUGCUUAGAUAUCACGAAGAACUCCGAUUGCGAAGGCAGCUUACCGGGGUACAACUGACGCUGAUGCACGAAAGUGUGGGUAUCAAACAGG
rnacentral:rRNA from 1 species